UUUUGCAUAAUGAGCCUGCGAGUUGUGGUGUCUGGCAAGGUUAAGCAAACGCGAAGCCGUAGCGAAAGCGAGUCUGAAUAGGGCGCUUAGUCAGAUGCUGCAGACCCGAAACGAAGUGAUCUAUCCAUGAGCAAGUUGAAGCUAGUGUAAGAACUAGUGGAGGACUGAACCCAUAGGCGUUGAAAAGCCCCGGGAUGACUUGUGGAUAGGGGUGAAAGGCCAAUCAAACUUCGUGAUAGCUGGUUCUCUCCGAAAUAUAUUUAGGUAUAGCGUUGUGUCGUAAUAUAAGGGGGUAGAGCACUGAAUGGGCUAGGGCAUACACCAAUGUACCAAACCCUAUCAAACUCCGAAUACCUUAUAUGUAAUCACAGCAGUCAGGCGGCGAGUGAUAAAAUCCGUCGUCAAGAGGGAAACAACCCAGACUACCAGCUAAGGUCCCUAAAUCUUACUUAAGUGGAAAACGAUGUGAAGUUACUUAAACAACCAGGAGGUUGGCUUAGAAGCAGCCAUCCUUUAAAGAAAGCGUAAUAGCUCACUGGUCUAGUGAUUUUGCGCGGAAAAUAUAACGGGGCUAAAGUAAGUACCGAAGCUGUAGACUUAGUUUACUAAGUGGUAGGAGAGCGUUCUAUUUGCGUCGAAGGUAUACCGGUAAGGAGUGCUGGAGCGAAUAGAAGUGAGCAUGCAGGCAUGAGUAGCGAUAAUUAAUGUGAGAAUCAUUAACGCCGUAAACCCAAGGUUUCCUACGCGAUGCUCGUCAUCGUAGGGUUAGUCGGGUCCUAAGUCGAGUCCGAAAGGGGUAGACGAUGGCAAAUUGGUUAAUAUUCCAAUACCAACAUUAGUGUGCGAUGGAAGGACGCUUAGGGCUAAGGGGGCUAGCGGAUGGAAGUGCUAGUCUAAGGUCGUAGGAGGUUAUACAGGCAAAUCCGUAUAACAAUACUCCGAGAACUGAAAGGCUUUUUGAAGUCUUCGGAUGGAUAGAAGAACCCCUGAUGCCGUCGAGCCAAGAAAAGUUUCUAAGUUUAGCUAAUGUUGCCCGUACCGUAAACCGACACAGGUGGGUGGGAUGAGUAUUCUAAGGCGCGUGGAAGAACUCUCUUUAAGGAACUCUGCAAAAUAGCACCGUAUCUUCGGUAUAAGGUGUGGUUAGCUUUGUAUUAGGAUUUACUCCGAAAGCAAGGAAACUUACAACAAAGAGUCCCUCCCGACUGUUUACCAAAAACACAGCACUCUGCUAACUCGUAAGAGGAUGUAUAGGGUGUGACGCCUGCCCGGUGCUCGAAGGUUAAUUGAUGGGGUUAGCAUUAGCGAAGCUCUUGAUCGAAGCCCGAGUAAACGGCGGCCGUAACUAUAACGGUCCUAAGGUAGCGAAAUUCCUUGUCGGUUAAAUACCGACCUGCAUGAAUGGCGUAACGAGAUGGGAGCUGUCUCAAAGAGGGAUCCAGUGAAAUUGUAGUGGAGGUGAAAAUUCCUCCUACCCGCGGCAAGACGGAAAGACCCCGUGGACCUUUACUACAGCUUGACACUGCUACUUGGAUAAGAAUGUGCAGGAUAGGUGGGAGGCUUUGAGUAUAUGACGCUAGUUGUAUAUGAGCCAUUGUUGAGAUACCACUCUUUCUUAUUUGGGUAGCUAACCAGCUUGAGUUAUCCUCAAGUGGGACAAUGUCUGGUGGGUAGUUUGACUGGGGCGGUCGCCUCCCAAAUAAUAACGGAGGCUUACAAAGGUUGGCUCAGAACGGUUGGAAAUCGUUCGUAGAGUAUAAAGGUAUAAGCCAGCUUAACUGCAAGACAUACAAGUCAAGCAGAGACGAAAGUCGGUCUUAGUGAUCCGGUGGUUCUGUGUGGAAGGGCCAUCGCUCAAAGGAUAAAAGGUACCCCGGGGAUAACAGGCUGAUCUCCCCCAAGAGCUCACAUCGACGGGGAGGUUUGGCACCUCGAUGUCGGCUCAUCGCAUCCUGGGGCUGGAGCAGGUCCCAAGGGUAUGGCUGUUCGCCAUUUAAAGCGGUACGCGAGCUGGGUUCAGAACGUCGUGAGACAGUUCGGUCCCUAUCUGCCGUGGGCGUAAGAAGAUUGAAGAGAUUUGACCCUAGUACGAGAGGACCGGGUUGAACAAACCACUGGUGUAGCUGUUGUUCUGCCAAGAGCAUCGCAGCGUAGCUAAGUUUGGAAAGGAUAAACGCUGAAAGCAUCUAAGCGUGAAGCCAACUCUAAGAUGAAUCUUCUCUAAGCUCUCUAGAAGACUACUAGUUUGAUAGGCUGGGUGUGUAAUGGAUGAAAGUCCUUUAGCUGACCAGUACUAAUAGAGCGUUUGGCUUAUCUUUAAUAAAGCAU
rnacentral:rRNA from 1 species